rnacentral:rRNA from 1 species
UACAGAGGCCUCGAGCGUUAGGCGGAAUCACUGGGCUUAAAGCGUGUGUAGGUGGAUGCCUAAGUACCUUGUGAAAUCCCACAGCUUAACUGUGGAAUUGCUUGGUAUACUGGGUGUCUUGAGCCACUCAGGGGCUACCGGAACAAAUGGUGGAGCGGUGAAAUGCGUAGAUAUCAUUUGGAACGCCAAUGGUGAAAACAGGUAGCUGGGGGGUGUGCUGACACUGAGACACGAAAGCCAGGGGAGCAAACGGG